UGAAGAACAUUUCAUCUCGGAAAGGGGCAAAGAAAGAAUUUACAAUUGCAAGUUUUCGAAAGUAAGUGCUCUAAGGAAAGGAAGGUCAGGGGACUAUUAGAAG